AGGUGGGGUUGGUGGUGGCAGUGUUAGGCUGGUCAGAAGACGUGGAGACGCAGCAGACAGAGGCUAGGGCAGGCUGCGGCGCCACUUGGGUUUAGGGCUAAGGUUUCUGUCAGGUGUUUUGGUUUUGGGUUGGUUGGGCUGUUAGGGUUUUUAUUUUUUUGGGCUUGUAUUUGGGUUUGCUAUUUUUUUGUUUUAUUUUUGUAUGGUCUUGGGCCCGGGAUAAAUUGGGCUUGUACAGCUACCCCUCUUUGCUCGUUUGUCGUGUAACGAGAAUAGAGCAAAUACUAAGAAAUACCAAUUUUGCCCAGUCUCGCCGAUUCUUGACUUUUUCUGAUGCUUCUUUUCUUCAAGUAGCUUCAUUC
rnacentral:lncRNA from 1 species